UGGGGUAUAGCUCAGUGGUAGAGCACGUGCUUAGCAUGUACAAGGUCCUGGGUUCAAUACCCAGCACCUCCA
rnacentral:tRNA from 1 species